UACACAAUAUAGCCUAGGUGUGUAGUAGACUAUAUCAUCUAGGUCUAAGUACACUCUGUGAUGUCUACACAAUGACAAAAGUACCUAAAGAUGCAUUUCUCAGAAUGCAUCCCUGUCAUUAAGCAAUGCCUGACUGUACUGCUAACCACCUACACUGCCAUCAAGAUAGGGAAAAGUCCUCCUGGAUUCAUGUGAAUUACACCAAGCUAGACCCAGAUCAGCACUCUGAGGACAACUGGAAGACCCUCCCUACAGGUGACCUUAAAGUAACGAUUUCCCAGACUGGUUCCCAGGCCUCAGAAGCAGAUGACAUUUUAAAGUAGACAGCUUUUCUCAAGAUCAUGGAUCAAGAAACUUCACUUCCACCUAUUUUCUCACAUUGGGCCUCCUUGUCCAAAAAACAAAAACCAAAAGAACCUCUUCCUUUUAAUGAAGCCUCCUUUUUCUCUGGCCAUUUAUUAAAAAGCUGACUGGAAGUUGCUUGUCUCAAUCCUGUCCUCUGAUUCUCCCUCUGAUCCUCCACUAUGGGCUCUCUUUGAGGUUGUGUCUCAUGCUUAGCAAACCUUACUGUUUUCCCAACAGGUCAAAAACAGAACUGACACCUCGUUACACCAACUCUCCAAAUCCUGUCCAUUUUAAUUAAUCUGAUUACUGGUUAUGUCAACAUCUAGAUCAUGCAGAAGAACUUGAACCAAUUUUCAUUCCUGCCAGCGCCAGGACUCGGUGGGCCAACUAUGAAAACUGGGUAUGUGACAAGGUGUGGCAUCCAGAACUGAGAAAACAACAUCACUUUACUUCUUCUUUUGAUGGAUUAAUUGGACAUGGACAAACCUCUAUGGAAGCUCAAGUUCUGUCCUGUGCUCAGGUGGCAUCCUCAAGCCUCCCAUGAAGGUUAUAGAAGGUUCUGGCACUGACUCUUAUGGUACAAAGACUUACCAUAUCACCGGAUGUUACAGUAAGCUCACAAGCCACCCUUGUAUAACAUGGGGUAGCCCAUCUCCUCUCUUCAUUAGACUGCCAAACACUAGACAUUAAAUAUGGAUAGACCAAAAA